rnacentral:rRNA from 1 species
CCUACGGGCGGCAGCAGUGAGGAAUAUUGGUCAAUGGGCGAAAGCCUGAACCAGCCAAGUCGCGUGAAGGAUGAAUGUUCUAUGGGUUGUAAACCUCUUUUAUAUGGGAAUAAAGUGCGGGACGUGUCGCGUUUUGUAUGUACCUUAUGAAUAAGGAUCGGCUAACUCCGUGCCAGCAGCCGCGGUAAUACGGAGGAUCCGAGCGUUAUCCGGAUUUAUUGGGUUUAAAGGGUGCGUAGGCGGAUUGUUAAGUCAGUGGUGAAAGUCUGCGGCUCAACCAUAGAAUUGCAGUUGAAACUGGUAGUCUUGAGUAUGGUAGAGGUAGGCGGAAUGCGUGGUGUAGCGGUGAAAUGCUUAGAUAUCACGAAGAACCCCGAUUGCGAAGGCAGCCUGCCAGACCAUAACUGACGCUGAUGCACGAAAGCGUGGGGAUCAAACAGGAUUAGAUACCCUUGUAGUC